rnacentral:tRNA from 4 species
GGGGGCGUAGCUCAGAUGGCCAGAGCGCUGGUCUCCAAAACCAGAUGUCGCAGGUUCAAUUCCUGCCGCCCUUGCCA